AGAGUUUGAUCAUGGCUCAGAACGAACGCUGGCGGCAGGCUUAACACAUGCAAGUCGAACGGAUGUAGCAAUACAUUAGUGGCGCACGGGUGAGUAAUACAUGGGAACGUGCCUUGGAGUACGGGGAUAACAGCGGGAAACUGCUGCUAAUACCGUAUAUUCCCUUCGGGGGAAAGAUUUAUCGCUCCAAGAUCGGCCCAUGCCAGAUUAUGGUAGUUGGUGGGGUAAAAGCCUACCAAGCCUACGAUCUGUAGCUGGUCUGAGAGGACGACCAGCCACACUGGAACCGAGACACGGUCCAGACUCCUACGGGAGGCAGCAGUGGGGAAUAUUGGACAAUGGGGGAAACCCUGAUCCAGCCAUGCCGCGUGAGUGAUGAAGGCCUUAGGGUUGUAAAGCUCUUUUGUCAGGGAAGAUGAUGACGGUACCUGAAGAAUAAGCACCGGCUAACUUCGUGCCAGCAGCCGCGGUAAUACGAAGGGUGCUAGCGUUGUUCGGAAUCACUGGGCGUAAAGCGCGCGUAGGCGGCUUUUCAAGUCAGGGGUGAAAUCCCACGGCUCAACCGUGGAAUUGCCUUUGAAACUGUGAAGCUAGAGUGUCGGAGGGGAUAGCGGAAUUGCUAAUGUAGAGGUGAAAUUCGUAGAUAUUAGCAGGAACACCGGUGGCGAAGGCGGCUAUCUGGACGACAACUGACGCUGAGGCGCGAAAGCACGGGGAUCAAACAGGAUUAGAUACCCUAGUAGUCC
rnacentral:rRNA from 1 species